rnacentral:rRNA from 1 species
CAGCCGUAAACUAUGCGCGUUAGGUGUAUCGGUGACCACGAGUUACCGAGGUGCCGAAGGGAAACCGUGAAACGUGCCGCCUGGGAAGUACGGUCGCAAGGCUGAAACUUAAAGGAAUUGGCGGGGGGAGCACCACAACAGGUGGAGCCUGCGGUUUAAUUGGACUCAACGCCGGACAACUCACCGGGGACGACAGCAAUAUGUAGGCCAGGCUGAAGACCUUGCCUGAAUCGCUGAGAGGAGGUGCAUGGCGUCAGUGACU